rnacentral:lncRNA from 1 species
CCGCCAUUCCUAGUUCCUUUUACGAAUAGUUCGUUGCAUUCUUCAGUAGACUUGUACACUUUGAGUCUGGAUUCAUGAAAACCCAACCCUUUUAGGAUUCCCAAAACAAAAGAACCUUGCAGGUAGCCUACGUUAUCUUCAUUGCUAAUGAGCUGAUGAACAUCAGUCACAGUAGGCAUGAGCUGCUGGACUGUCAGGAGACUUGUUAAACUGGCCGUGUAGCUUUGAGUCAGAAUCAAUACAACGAAACACCAUAUGAUUACUACUGAUCUAGCCAAGUUGCUAACCACUCUUUCCCCUGUUAUAAAUACAAAGAACAAAGAGUAUCAGUUCAAUUUGUACCAACAGUUAAAAGCUCAAAUUAGUUGUGAGAAUUCAGAAGGGGUAGGAGAAUUACGAUGGGCAAAAACCAUGGUCGAGAAGGAAAACCAGAACGCAGUUCCAGCUUGAUGUGAUGGUGGUCCUCUAAAGUCUUGAUUUAUCCUGUGUUCAAGAACCCAGACCACAAAACCAAUGAAAACAAAGAAACAGAAGCUUGUUACCCAAAGAUCCCAUGUUAAAGGCUUCAAGAAAACCCAUGCAUUUUUACUAUUGUUGUCUUUGAUUGGCACUAUCAUUGAUACUCCUGAUUCUGUGUAAGGAAAUGUGAAGUCCACAUACAAGGACCUGUUUGCGAUUAUAGUUGUAUCUCCCACCACAGCAUCAAAUUUCUGUGAUGAAAGAAUAAGAAAAAAAGUGACAGAAAAUUAUGCUCAUGCCUCAGCCGUAUGAGGAAUUUAUGUCAUAUCAGCACAAAAAUGAUUAGAAGUUACCCCAGUGUACACUUGAUAGACUAGAUCAUCAUAAGUUCCUGCACUGCUUCCAUCAGGAUUGGCAAAGGGGAUGUAUUCAUAAGUCACAGUAUAAGGUAAUGCUUUCACUACAGCAUCAAAAACAUCAAUGCAGUAGCCUCUGACAGUUGUGAUAUUAGUACUAGGAUCUCUUGUCACCUUUACAAAUUCACUAAAACCUUCUUUCACUGGCACUAGAAUUCGCAACUUCUUCCCUUUUGUUGGAAUCUCCCAUCCCUUGGGAACAGAAGAUGAAUCCCCAGGCCAUAUCACUGGUGCAAGAUUGGAUUCAGAAGUAGAAUACAAAUUUGUGACUGCCACUGAGUUCAAUUUCUUGGUAAGUCCCUUUUGGGGUGUCCAAAAUCCAAGUCCUCUUGCUCCAUCACCAAUUACAUUAAUUAUCUGGAAAGCCGACGAUGGUAGCUGCCCAUUAACGAAAAGGAAAUCUCCUGCAAGGCCUUUGAAGCCAGUGUUUGACAAUGCCUGAAGAAGGUCCGGACCAUUUAGAGAGACCCCAAAAGUGGUAAGGUCAGUUGUUGAAUUGCUGGAAGUAUUUGCUUUCUGGAAGUCAAUCUUUGCAGCCCCAGCUUUCUCGAUUGCCAUGGCCAACGCAAUAGCAGCAUCAUAUGCCCAUAGUUCGUAAAUGCUCGACUCAACAUCGACAGUUCCUGGGUUAUCUUGCAGGAAUUUGCUUUUCCAUCGAACGUAAAAAUUUUCCAGCUCUUUAGUUUUUGGAACAUAAGGUUUAACACCCAAUACACCUUGCAUUGAUUCGAUAACAGAAGGGGUUAGAGAACGCAAGUAAUCGGACAUCCCAUUUGUCAUGAUCCAAACAUAGCCUUCACUCAUCAUUCCAGCCUCUCUUGCUUUAGUGAGAAGCCGAGAGCCGAGAGAGGGUAGCAUGUGCAGGAUAAAAACUCUAGUUUGCAUACUCAUCAACUUGUAUAGCUCUUCAGCAAUUUGGUCAUCAGUAGCGAAGAAAGAGAUUAGACUCCUGUAAGGGAUUCGGGUAUCAAUUGCUUGCAAAGCAUCAGUUAAAUAAGGUAUGACUCCUUGGCCAUACUCGUUAUCAACGUAAAUGGGCACUGCUUCUCUCCAUCCAAAAGCUUGAAUUAGUGCAGCGAUGGCACCCACUUGAGUUGAAUCAUUUUGUGUAGCUCUGAAGAAAUAUGGUCUCCGGAUAGAAGUAAGAGAAGGAGUUGAUGCAGAAAAGGAUAUGAUGGGUACUUGAGCUUUUUGUCCAAGCUCAAUAACAAAGCCAGCCUGCGUAGAUGUUGUAGGUCCUAUAAUUGCUUGGACUUCCACAUUUUUUAUCAAGUUCAGUGCUGUGUAAAAUGUGUUUCAUAGUCAAUUCGAUAUUAUGGAUUUGUGGCGGCUUAAAUAGAAAGAGCAAAAAGAGAGACAUACAUGCACAUAUAUUUAUGUUUCUUUUUGACAAGUUUCAAACUCUAGUGUCUGUUAUGUGUAAAGAAUUAAGCGAUAUAGCCCAAAAUAAAUAAGCUAAUUACUAAUAUUUCACAGAUAAUUCAAUUCUUUGUUUUGUAGGAACUUGGGUUCAUCACCUUAUGCAUUUUGAUAAACAAGAUAUAUUGUAAAUUUAAUACUUGAAAUAACUCUCUUUCUAUUAUUAUUUCUUUUCUUUUUUGGUCAAUUUCCGGCUACGGUUUCGAUCUAAGACGACAUUUUUGAGUGACUUGGAGAAGGAUGGGCGAUUUAUGAAGCCUUCUGGUAUACUGCCACUGCGUGGUAAGGCAAGCAAAGCUGUUCGUUCCUUAUUCAACACAGCCGCUUAAGCUUAGGUCAGAAGCUGGCCACGUCAGGAUUAUCUAAGCUGCCCAUUUCAAGCAACCACACAGACAAGCAAAACAAGUGAAACCCAAACAAACUAGUAAUUUCAAUAAUUUUAUUCCUAAUCUAUUUGGGGAGUAAUUCUUAGCGGAUUUAAUCUUUAUAUUGACUUGAUUAUUUAUUAGCAUUAAUCAUUCAUGAUUAAAAUAAUUUAUAUAAAUAUUACAAAUAAUAAAUAUUAAUAUAUAAUUAAUUUUAUUUAUAUUACAUGAUAGAUUAGAUUUAUUUAAAGACUAUAUAAUACAAUUAGUUAUUUUUUAUACUCACACAAGUAAUAGCUUACAGAGUAUAAAUGCAAAAAUCUAAACUUAAAAUUUUUAUCCACCUAAAUUAGAUAAUACUAGUCUUUUGUCUAUGUGUUGCACGACCGUUAUAAUUAUUUUAAUUAUAAAAUCAAGUUGAUAUAUACAAUUUAAUAAUAAUUUUAAUAUUUAAUAUUAAUUUAUAAAAUUUUAAAAAAUAAUAGUAAAGUAAUUGUUUUUAAAUGUCUUUAGUUUUUUUAAAUUUUAAAAUUUUAUUAAUGCAUGAUAUAAAAAUUAUUUAUUAAUUACUUUUAAUAUUAUAUAAAUUAAUAUAUUAAUAUAAUUGAUAUUACUUAUUGUAUAAUUAAUAAUUGAUUCAUUAUUAAAUAUAAUUUAAAAUGUCAUUCUCUAGAAUUAGAAUUAUUAUCUAACUAAAAAAUUAAUUAAUUAAUUAAUAUAAUAUUAAAAUAUAAUUAAAUAUAUUAUUUUUAGAAUAAAAUUAGUAUUAUUAUAAUAUUAGAAAACUAUUUAUUGGUUACUAUAAUAUUAAAAUAUAUUUAAUAUGAUAUUUCUUAGAAUAAGAGUAUGUGUUUAAUUAGUAAUAUAUGUGUUUAAUUAGUAAUAUAACUUGUUAAUCAAUAGAUUAAUAGAAAAAACUAUAAAAUUAUACAAAAAUUUAAAUUUUAUAUGUCAAAAAUAAUACAUAUAUCAAAAUAAAAAUUUUACGUGUCAAAAAUUAAAUACACCUAUAAAAAAGAAUUAGGUCCUAAAAAUUAAUAUAUAUAGAUUAUUUCAAUAAUAUCUAAAUAUGUUUUAUAGGUAUUGAGUAUAAAAUGAUUCUGUCCAAUAAAGAAUUUAAUCUUUCUUGGUCACCAUUGGUGAAUGAGGUACUAUUCUUUCAUCGUCAACAUUAAUCAACAGAAACCAUGUAAUUAUAUAUAACAACAUUUAACCAAUCAACAGAAACCAUGUAAUUAUAUAUAACAACAUUUAACCAUACUGCUCAUGAAUCUAUAACUUGACAGGAAAAGUGAAACAUAGAAGAGAAGCUUGAUUUUUAGACUGCAUAACUAAUAUCUGUAUUUUUAUACAUGUAGAUAUAAAAAGUAUUCUUGAGCUUAAACUUUUGGGUUUCGUGAUUCCUUGACAACCAAGAGAGACUUUUCAUAUAUGCUUAAAAAAACACUAUAAAAAUCCAGAAAGAAGAUAGGGAGAGAAACCUGCAGCAGCUGCACCGACAACAUCCUCCAUGGAGUUCCUGGUAUAGAGGACCAACCUUGUCUUAUAAUGACCAUUGGUAGCGUAGAAGUCUGACAGGGCCAUGUUGAUGCAGCUCAACCAUUUCUUGCUUUCCAAGUUCUCCAAGUCAAGAACCACUCCUACAUUCACUGAUACUGUUGCGUUUUGUGCCAUCAUCAUUUCUGUCGACAAAAGAGAGAUCAGAAAGGAAAAAGAGAUCACAGAUCCUGGGUUGUUCUUUCUCAUCUUUUUAUUUGUAUUGGUAUUUCGUUGCCUCCAGUUCUAUGAGAUAACAACUCGAGUGUACUUCCUACGCCUGGUGGAAGAGCAUAUUGUGCUACUAUUUGAAUAUAAGGUAGCACAGUAGCCACAAAUCAGUGGCUACUAUUGCAAGGAAAUUUCAUGCUGUGAUUGCCUCAAAAAUUUAUGCCAAAUACACUCUCUUCAAAGACCAAAACAAAACUCAUUUAUUAUUUGGUAAUAGGUCACUUUCAGACCGAGCAGAGCGACUUGAAUUAUCACUAUUCAUACAUUCAGUUUCUGAGAUAGUACAACCACGACGAUUUGAUUUUUCCUUAUUACUGAAUGUGGCCAUAUUAUUAAGUGGUGCCUUCAUUUACCUUUGACCAAAUCAAAGUAUAUUGGUGGCAGAAAAUUACAUUUUUAGACAGUUCAGUUUUGUUUUUUUUUUUUUUUUUUCAAGGGAUGAAUGUAUCAGAAUUUGACUUCUAUCUUUGUCAUCCGAUAACCCAUAAUACUUAAUUGAUUUUUUCUUUUGUCUUUUAAAAAUACAACGACUGGGAAAUUUGUAUUUUUAGCUUUCAAAUAUCUAUAAAUUUGAGAAAAGAAAUAUUUUUAAACCAUUUCAAUUAAAUAUACACAUAAAUAAAUAUGUAAUAUAUACAAAUAGGAUGAUAAAAAUAAAAAUAAAAAGGCACAAAUAAAUAAAAAAUUUAACUUUUUAAUCUAGCUUAAUUAAAAUAAUAAAAUUUAUAUCUCUAUUAUAAUACCACAAAUUCAAUGAGAAAAAAGAAUAUAAGAAAAUCUAGGUUGUAUAUCUAAUUUUCUAAAAUCAUAAUUCCAAACAAGGAGGAAGCUCCAAGUUCUAGCCUGUCAAUCUUAAUAGAUAUUAAUAAAAACAUCAAUCAUUUUCUGUCAAAGGGAAAUAAGUAACAAAAAGCAAAAUUUUAAAGAGAUCCUUUUUAUUUUGAAUUUCGUUUUCAUUUCUCACAAGUCACAACAUACAAAGGAUUUUGGUUUGUGGAUUAGUCAAUUCAUUGGGAUCUUCAUACUCAGAAUCUCAAGAGAUAUAACAGUGAGUUUGGCUUUUUCAAUUACUCCUGACCUUUGUUAUACCACAUUUACUAUUCAAAUUCGUUAGUCUAAAGUCCAGAUUGAAGUAGGAUUUGGUCUCGAUUUCAAGUCGUAUUAGUUAAGGUAUGUAUUCGGGUCUUAUUUCUUGGCAACUCUAUUCUGUAUGUCUCUGUCAAUGAUCUACUAACCUUUAUCUUAUUGCAAAAGGCAAUUGCUCAGCGCUAAUGCCUAAUAGUGAUCAUUAUGGUGAUGGUAUAUUUCUAUAAGUUAUAUCUCUUACAUGUGUAGCUCAAGGCUUUCUUUAUAUAGUUUGGAGUUGAGAUUAAUAGAAAGAAGGUAAUAUAAUUGGGAACAAAAGCAUAAAUUUAUUAGUUUUUCCAUUUUUAAAAUGUAAUUUCUUGAGCUUUUGAUGUAAGCCUUUGUGGCAAAUGACCUCAUUUCAUUUGAUCAGAUGAAAAUUAGUUUGAUUCAGAUCCCAGAAAAGAAAAAAGAGAAAACCCUUUUUCUGUGAUGUCAUCAAGCCCCAACAUCUAAGAAAUAAUUUGUUGGAAACAUGUUUAAUAAUUACUUUUCCACAAACUUACCUCCACUUCAAUGAAGCAUCCUAGAAUUUCACAAAUUUGUUUAAUCAUAAAAUGCCAGAGAUUGUGAGAAGAAAAUUUCCAUAACAUAUCGGACUUUGAUUAAAUUAUGGUCAGGAUUUUCUUGAGUCCAAAAUCAAGAGUAGCAACUAGCGAACAACAUCCAACAAGGACGUUUACAAAUAUUAUAAUAUGAAGUCUUUACUUGUACAUAACGCACACUUGGAAUUCAAUGCAGCAAGGCCACCUUGACGUUCUAAGAAGAUUAGAUAAACCAACAACUUGGAAUUCUUGUCAAUUUUUCAGCUUGGAGGAGGAAAUCAAGAAACAAUUCCAUACUAUGGUCAUAGUCAUUAUCAUAUACACUCCUAGUACAAUAAUUUCAGAGCAGUAGCUUCCUUUUUCCUUUUCUUUUCUCAAAGGUGUUUAGAUGGCAUGUAACAGGCUACUUUUUGCAACGUUGUGCAAUUCCGGUACGGCUAAAAUUUGGAGAACUGCUUUGUUUUACCUGAAUCGUAAAAUAUGCUCUAUAUUAGGGCCUGAAAUUUAAAGCCUACCUUCGAGCUUUGCCUGGGAAUUCAAGACGCAGCCUAAAGGGAAAAUAUAUCAUUUUACAUGCAGUAACCAGAUUAACAAGGUCCUCCAAAACCUAAACGAAGAGACAUUUCGUAGUCCACAAGUAAUAAUAUUUACAUUGCUAAAAUCCUAGUUUAGUAUACAACUAUGGAUGAUGGUGUUACAAAUGUCAUAUAAGCAAUGCUAAUAAUCUACCAAUUAGUAGUUGUAACAGACUAUUUCAAGUUGUUGGCUAUUCUCUUGAAUCUUGAUUUGAGUUGACAAGCUCAAUGUUUAGCACUACUGCUUGAGUUGGUUGCUCUUCUGGAUUUGGAUCGCCAUAUUCUGCAGAAGGUGUGCCCUGUUCCCCAGGAAAAUCUGUCUGGACUGAAUAGAUUGACGGACUUGGAGCACCCAUACUUAUCUCAUUCGCUUCACUCUUUCUGAAAGUGUGUGAUUUCAAGUCUUUUUCGUCAAAUAUUCUCAACAAAUGAACAAUUCUACUCCAUAUUCUAGCUUCUGAAUCAGAACGCCUGAUAAUCUGCCAAUGCUCAUAGGUGAACAUGGCUCCGUAUAUCAUGAGAGCUAAAGCUGAAGCUGUUCCAGCAAUUAAAAAUAACCCCCAGAAACUUCUGAGACUAAGGCUAUUGGAAGAAACAGUGGUGCUAGGAUCUGGACAGCUGCUUUGCUUUCCAAACCAUGCUUCUCCAAUUUUCUUCAUGUCAUCUCCUUGAAUCACAUCCAAGAUUGCCCUUGAGACAUCAGGUACUAAUGGAGAUCUUUUAGGGAACACCUGAAACUCGCAAAAGAAAUAAGAAACCCAUGUCAGAAACUACAAAUGCACAAAUAAUCAUGCUGGAGUCGUCUCCGGCCCUUUGAGGUUUCUGGGUAGGAAUUACAUUCGGAUCUCAAACAAACAAACAAACAAACAAACAAAAUUAAAAAAAAAAAAAAAGAGAGAACUUACAAAUCCAAAGCCACCUGUCUUAAAUGUGGGUUCAACCAUGGUGUACUUGGAGCAAUACUGUGCUAAAAACAGCUUAAUAUAUGGUACUUCGUCAAAUGCAGCAGCAAUGCCGCCGUUCCUAGUUCCUUUUACGAAUAGUUCGUUGCAUUCUUCAGUAGAAUUGUACACUUUGAAUUUGGAUUCAUGGAAACCCAACCCUUUUAGGAUUCCCAAAACAAAAGAACCCUGAAGGUAGCCUACGUUAUCUUCAUUGCUAAUGAGCUGAUGAACAUCAGUCACAGUAGGCAUGAGCUGCUGGACUGUCAGGAGACUUGUUAAACUGGC